UAGAGUUUGAUCCUGGCUCAGGUUGAACGCUGGCGGCAGGCUAACACAUGCAAGUCGAGCGGAUGAGGGGAGCUUGCUCCCUGAUUUAGCGGCGGACGGGUGAGUAAUGCCUAGGAAUCUGCCUGGUAGUGGGGGAUAACGUUCCGAAAGGAACGCUAAUACCGCAUACGUCCUACGGGAGAAAGCAGGGGACCUUCGGGCCUUGCGCUAUCAGAUGAGCCUAGGUCGGAUUAGCUAGUUGGUGAGGUAAUGGCUCACCAAGGCGACGAUCCGUAACUGGUCUGAGAGGAUGAUCAGUCACACUGGAACUGAGACACGGUCCAGACUCCUACGGGAGGCAGCAGUGGGGAAUAUUGGACAAUGGGCGAAAGCCUGAUCCAGCCAUGCCGCGUGUGUGAAGAAGGUCUUCGGAUUGUAAAGCACUUUAAGUUGGGAGGAAGGGCAUUAACCUAAUACGUUAGUGUUUUGACGUUACCAACAGAAUAAGCACCGGCUAACUUCGUGCCAGCAGCCGCGGUAAUACGAAGGGUGCAAGCGUUAAUCGGAAUUGCUGGGCGUAAAGCGCGCGUAGGUGGUUCGUUAAGUUGGAUGUGAAAGCCCCGGGCUCAACCUGGGAACUGCAUCCAAAACUGGCGAGCUAGAGUACGGUAGAGGGUGGUGGAAUUUCCUGUGUAGCGGUGAAAUGCGUAGAUAUAGGAAGGAACACCAGUGGCGAAGGCGACCACCUGGACUGAUACUGACACUGAGGUGCGAAAGCGUGGGGAGCAAACAGGAUUAGAUACCCUGGUAGUCCACGCCGUAAACGAUGUCAACUAGCCGUUGGAAUCCUUGAGAUUUUAGUGGCGCAGCUAACGCAUUAAGUUGACCGCCUGGGGGAGUACGGCCGCAAGGUUAAAACUCAAAUGAAUUGACGGG
rnacentral:rRNA from 1 species